CCGAUCCACUAGGGGAGCCUUCGGGCUGAGAACAGGUCUGCCGAGACCUGGACCCUUAGAACCUGAACUGGGUAAUACCAGCGGAGGGAAGUGGACGGCCGGCCGU
rfam:Symbiobacterium thermophilum IAM 14863 DNA, complete genome.